UAUAUACUCCCACCGUUUCACAAUACAUGCCUUUUAUUUGUCAAAAUAUAGAUGUAUCUAGACAUGUUUUAGUAUAUAGGUACAUUCAUUUUUAAAUAAAUGGAAGUCAAAGUAUUUUAAAACAGAGGGAGUAUUCU
rnacentral:pre_miRNA from 1 species